AUUAUCAUCAUUAAUAAAAGGAAUAAUCAAAAAGGGAAAGGAUUAGGGUUUUACGUUUUGUGUUUGUGACCAGUGAACCUAUGAAAGCUCUCCUUCCACUCUUUCACGACGAAACGCCGCCAGAGAUAAACCUUCUCCUCUGAUCAAAACAUGGCCGCCACAAAAGGGAACCGAACUAAUACACGUCUCCCUCCCUCGUCUCAGAUAUCUCUCCUCUCAUUCUCUCCGAUCAAACUCUCUGCCUCAAUCUCUCUUGCUCUCCUAUUUCUUCUCGCGAUCUCCGAUUCAAUCUCUCAAUUGGUUCUCCUCUCAAUUUCGCUCUCAGUUCUCUCACAAACAAGUAAUCGGCAGCCGGAGCAUUCAUGAAUUUCUUUCUCCGGCGAACUCCCAUCUCCGUCUCAUUCUCAUCUCGAUACGACGCUAUCUUCCGAUCAUCUCUUGUUUAAGACUCUCUCUCGAUUCAGUCAAGUCGGAUGAAGAGAUGCUUGAAGGUGUGUGAAAGUUCAUCAAGGAAUCUGUUUCUGUUACAGAUCGGUGACGAUGAUUCUAUUCUGAUGAAUCGUAUCAAGUUGUUACGGAUGAAGCACAGGUUAACGGUGGAGGUGGUGCUUGAUGAUGAAGAUCUGUUGAUAAUGAUUCGAAGAUGUUGGCAACGAGGAAUCAAGUGUUGUGCGAUGAUGAAGAUUGAUGAACGGAGUUCUUGUUUACAGAAUUCGUAAUGGAAGCUUGGAGACUCGAUGAUAACCUUGAAGGUGCAGUUACAUCAAUGAGUUAAUGAAGGUUGAAUAGUUUGUGAAAGAUUCUGGAAAAAUGGAGAUUGUAGACGUGAAAGUUUGUUACGAUUUUUCUUUAUGUGAUGAGUUUCUUCUGUAACCAUUUUCUGUUAGAGUUUUCUGGAGAAUUCAGAUGAAGAACGAUGGUGGUGAAAGAUGAGAGUCGAGAAGGUUGAGAGAAGAUUGAAGAGGUGAAGAGAUGAUGAUUGAAGCGUCGAGAGGUUGUGGAUUUAGAGAGAAAGUUUGUUACAUCUUUCUGAGUUCUCAUCCUCAGUUUCUGUUAUUUGAGUUUUUCUUUUGGCCGAACUGUUUACACUUGCGUUGCAGAAUUCACUUGGUUUUUUUUAUUAGUUGUAGGCCCUUUUUUGUAUUGUUUCUUUUUUGGUAUUGGUUUUGAAAUUUGUAGUGAAUUUUGAAUGGGCUUUUGAAUGUAACUUUGCACAUUUGAAUCUUUUCUAA